GUCCACGCUGUAAACGAUGAGCACUCGAUGUGCGAGGUCUACGACUCCUCGCGUGUCACCGCUAACGCAAUAAGUGCUCCGCCUGGGGAUUACGGUCGCAAGACUAAAACUCAAAGGAAUUGACGGGGCCCGCACAAGCGGUGGAGGAUGUGGUUUAAUUCGACGCAACGCGAAGAAUCUUACCUGGGCUUGACAUCCCCGGACCGCCCCAGAGAUGGGGUUUCCUCUUCGGAGGCCGGGAGACAGGUGCUGCAUGGCUGUCGU
rnacentral:rRNA from 1 species